ACCAGUAUAGACUAGACAGCACUGUAUACUGUAGAUCUUUAGUCUAGUAAUGUACACUCCCAAUAUAUUAUGCUCAUACAUUUCACUGCAAUAUCUUAUUCCACACUCUACAGAGAAGAUGUCUGACUAUCUCACAAUAGCAGAUCUAGGAAAACUAUACAUAGCUACGUUUGAUGCUCGAAUCAAAUGGCGAAACUUCUUGCUGGUUCUUGAGAUAUCCUCGGAUACUAUCGACAGCAUAGGUACGAAAUGGCGAGAUGAUCCUGAUGACUGCUAUCGUGAGGGUUUGAAAGAAUGGCUGAAAAGUGGGGAGAGCCGCUGGGAAGAUGUUGUCAAAGCAUUGUCUAGUCCUAUUGUGGGCCACGUUCACAUAGCCAGGACCAUCGAGAGAGAUCAUCUACAGUCUAGCAAUCUUACUGAUGUGAAGUCAGAGGUUGACCAAAAUCGUCAAAAGAUCAAUGAAGAUUUGACCAUUUUCUUAGACGGGCCACUCGGUAAAGGUGCAUUUGGAGCAGUCUUCAAAGGCAGCUACAAGGGCGAGAUUUGUGCAGUCAAAGUGCUGCUUCACGAUGCUAUGGAGAUGCAGGCAAGUAUUCCAGUUGGCAAAAAUGAAGAUGCUAGCGAUGCAAUUGAUCGUGAGAGUGAUUUUCUCAAGUCGUUCCAGCACCCAAAUGUUGUUCUGUUUUUGUCGACUGCUAAGCACCCCAAAUCAGGUGGUACAAUCCUCGUUGUUGAGUUGAUGGAUUGCAAUCUGAGAUCCUAUUUCUCCGGCCUUGAUGAAGAGUCCCUCACUAGCGAGUGUGAAAUUAGCCUAUCCGAAGACAUGGCUUGUGGUCUGGCCUACAUUCACAGCAAGCAGAUUAUCCACCGUGACCUCUGUGGCGAUAACGUCCUACUGAAGCUUACACUGCCAGUGCCUGUCGCGAAGAUUUCCGACUUUGGCAUGUCACGGCUAUACGAUCCCUCCAAGCUCAGCUCCACCCUCACAGCCAUUGGUCACCGUAGAGGGUAUCUACCUCCCGAGGCCUAUCGAUUGGAAGAGGAGAAUUACGAUAGUAGCCUGGAUGUGUUUUCCUUUGGGGUGAUUUUGACGCAAAUUGUUUGCAAGUUGGAGACGAUCAAAUCAGCCAAGGAUCGAUCAUUCCAUGUUGCCCAGAUUCCUCACACACACAGGUUGAGGAAGCUUAUCGACAGUUGUUUGCAAGAAAACGUGAAGAGGAGACCAUCUGCCAGGGACAUCUAUGCUUCACUGAAAAGAGUCUCAGACCCAGUGGAGGCAACAAAGAGGGAAUCAAAGGACACUCAACCAGUCGAGAAGGCACACAGGGAACAGAUUAAGCACAAAGAUGCUGAGCUGGUCAGGAGAGACGCCAUCAUUCAACAGCAGAGACAGGGUCCCCCUCCCAGAGAGUUGAGACCUCCACUCACUCUGAAAUGGAGAAGAGGAAAAGACAUGCCAAUCGAAAUGACCACUUCGGUACAGAGUAUUGUUAUCGGUGACACGGUGCAUGUUGGAGACAAUGAACGUGACAUGUGUAUCAACUUGCUGUAUUUGGUGGACAGGACGACAUAUUCAACCGAAGUUCGUUGAUCCAUCUCUACCAGCCUGACACCAGGAGUGUUUUGUAGCUUUAAUACCAGGACCUCAAGAAACAGAACAAGGAACAACGAAUAACAAGCCAUCUGUGAUUGCAGAUAAGGAAAUGUUUGCGUUUGGCAUUCAUGGACGUACUUCAGAAAGAGUUAGACAAAAUUGUUGUAGAUUGGAAUUCCCACUAUGUUAGGAAACAGAGACAUCUUACGUCUCCUUGUGGAAUCCCUGAGAAGCUAUUCAACCUACCUGGUAUAUAAUACAUUAUACAUUUAUUACGGUAUACACUCAUAAUGAUUCAUGAUCCUCGAACCAGAAUUGCAAAAUUAUAGUACCGUAUAUCUUCUAAUUUAUUGGACAGCAAAAAAAUAAUUAUUUUGGAACAGAUUUUUAUAGAGCAUGCAAAGGGUCCGAAAUAAUUAGAACAAGCAAGUAGCUGCAUGCGAGCUAGCUAAGUUUAAUAGAACAGUGUGCGACUGAAUAGUUGCACUAUAGCUAUUUAAAACUAUAGCUCUCAAAGCUAUCUAACUGCAUGCAGCACUCUAAGUCUUACUUGCCGCCUAUGAAUGAAUCAACUUUUCAAGGUAUUGUCCGAACAAAUGUAAUAUUAAAGCACUGGAGUGUCCGUUGUAUUUAGAACAACGAAAAUUGCCCAAAAAAGUGUCCGGGUAAUUAGAAGUGUCCGAUAAAUUAGAAGAUAUACGGUAAUUAUAGAUUUGAGGUAGGAUCGCCUCGCUAUUUCCGGCUAAGCUGCCUGU